GAAAAAUUUAUGCGCAAAGUCCGGAAGAUUGCUCGCAACUGGUUCCAGCUGGACAGGCUGAGCAUUUGGCUCCGCUGUUGUAAAUGUUCUUGAACAAGUAGUUUCCUCUGAAAAAUAAUU
ensembl:ncRNA C39E9.16 ncRNA